rnacentral:rRNA from 1 species
UGGGGAAUUUUGCACAAUGGGGGAAACCCUGAUGCAGCGACGCCGCGUGAUUUAGAAGGCCUUCGGGUUGUAAAAAUCUUUUCUAUGGGAAGAAAAUGACAGUACCAUAGGAAUAAGGACCGGCUAAUUACGUGCCAGCAGCCGCGGUAAUACGUAAGGUCCGAGCGUUGUCCGGAAUCAUUGGGCGUAAAGGGUACGUAGGCGGGUAAGCAAGUUAGAAGUGAAAUCCUGUAGCUCAACUACAGUAAGCUUUUAAAACUGCUCAUCUUGAGAUAUGGAAGGGAAAGUGGAAUUCCUAGUGUAGCGGUGAAAUGCGCAGAUAUUAGGAGGAAUACCGGUGGCGAAGGCGGCCUUCUGGGCCACGACUGACGCUGAGGCGCGAAAGCUAGGGGAGCGAACAGG